GCUUUGCCGGCGCGGAAAUGACAACCAGCGCGGUCAGGACUCGGUGCCACACGAUGUGUACUUGUAAAGUGGCGGCUGUGCGGGGACCCUGACCCUGCUGCAGCGCCUCAACGACAAAAACACUGCGGAUGGAACACUCGGUGAGCUUGGCAGGCUCUGUGGCCGCCUGCAUAUCGUGGAGCUUGCUGCUUAACAACAGAAAUAAAGCACUUGUCAGGCAGCAGCAGUGCGUCAGUGCAAAAUUGAAUUCGCAAGACUAAAGUUUACACGAGGCAACAACAAAAUCUACUGUGCCAUUCUGUGAGGCAACAAAGGGAAACACCUUGUUAGCGUCCGUCAGGAUGAAUGCCAUCGUGCCUCACGAAAGCGCUGAUCCUGGCAGAGGGAAGGCUCGC